rnacentral:rRNA from 1 species
GCGACAAGCGGUGGAGUAUGUGGUUUAAUUCGAUGCAACGCGAAGAACCUUACCUGGUCUUGACAUCCCGGAGACCCUUAGGAAACUAGGGGGUGCUUCCAUCUGGAAGAAUCUGGAGACAGGUGCUGCAUGGCUGUCGUCAGCUCGUGUCGUGAGAUGUUGGGUUAAGUCCCGCAACGAGCGCAACCCUUGCCUUUAGUUGCCAGCAGUUCGGCUGGGCACUCUAAAGGGACUGCCGGUGUUAAACCGGAGGAAGGUGGGGAUGACGUCAAGUCCUCAUGGCCUUUAUGACCAGGGCUACACACGUACUACAAUGGCCGAUACAAAGGGCAGCGACACUGCGAGGUGAAGCCAAUCCCGUAAAAUCGGUCUCAGUCCGGAUUGGAGUCUGCAACUCGACUCCAUGAAGUUGGAAUCGCUAGUAAUCGUGGAUCAGCAUGCCACGGUGAAUGCGUUCCCGGGCCUU